rnacentral:miRNA from 1 species
UGGAUUUCGUAUUUCUUUGGUA